rnacentral:rRNA from 1 species
UACGAGGGGGGCGAGCGUUGUUCGGAAUUAUUGGGCGUAAAGGGUGCGUAGGCGGUUUGGUAAGUCUUAUGUGAAAUCUAUGGGCUCAACUCAUAGUCUGCAUGAGAAACUGCCGGGCUUGAGUAUGGGAGAGGCGAGUGGAAUUCCUGGUGUAGCGGUGAAAUGCGUAGAUAUCAGGAGGAACACCUGUGGCGAAAGCGGCUCACUGGACCAUAACUGACGCUGAUGCACGAAAGCUAGGGGAGCAAACAGG